rnacentral:tRNA from 1 species
GAAGGGAUGGCUCAGUGGUAGAGCAUUCGACUGCAGAUCGAGUAGUCCCCGGUUCAAACCCUGGAGUCUUCUUCA